CCCAGUCACCCCUCCUUGACCGUUCUCAGUAGGUAGGGCCCAUUGCAGUGCUGACCAAUAGCUGGGCAGGGCAAGUACCUGUAGCUGGCUCAUUGGUAAUUGGUUACUUGUGGGUGGGGCCAGUGAGGCACUGACCAAUGGCUGAGCAAGUCCUGUUGCCUAGUAACAGGAGGCGGAGAAUAAGGUUCAGCAAUGGCUACCUGUGAAAGGCUGUACUCAUGUUGCUCUGUUACAUAAGGACACAUUGGGUCCAGUGUGCUGGCAUCUUUUUGACUGACUCCUUUCCAACGUCAGUGUAACAGAGCAGAAUGGACACAACCCUUAACAGGUCUCAGCCUGUGAGAACUGGCCUCCCCAUUUGGAUGCCCUGAGGACACUGAGGACCUAUUGUGGUGGAUGCCUGUCUCCAUCAGGGAUGACAGCUGGGCAGAGUGUGGGAACCUGGCAUUGAAGGAGCUGCUGACUGAGAUCUGCUUCCCCUUAAGUAGGACUGGGACAUUGCAGGGUGAAAGCUGUGCCUUGAGACUGCCCUUUCUUGUUGGAACAGAGAAUAACAUUCAUCUGGUAGAUAUUUAUAGCAACAUCAUUACCUGACCAUGACCUAACCUUAAGCACAAAGGGUGUGACACCAAGAAGUCUGCAGCAACUUGCCACAACUCUAACAUUUGCCUUUAAACACACUUACUGAAAACUUUCAGUAACUUGGGGUUCUUAGGGCAUGAGCCACUCAUCCCCAUGUAUGAAUCUUUAAUAAACCUUUCCCUGUUCCAAAUUCUAA